GCUCAGAUACAUGGUGAGUUGCUAGGGAACCAUUUCUCUGAUGCUGGAAGAAGAAAGCAUCAUACUCAAAAGAAAAAGAUGAAGAGAGUCCAAAAGGAAAAGCGUGAAAAAGAUUUUCUCUACUUUUUGAUCCGUUUGUCUGACAGAGAAACUGACAAAAAACAUAUUUGACAUCUAUGAAUUGAGCAAAACUGAUCAAAAACGUUGGUUGCAGGUGAAAAAUGUAAAGAAAAAAAUGUGAGUAAGUUGGAAAUUCUGUAACUUUUUCCAGACACGAGUCUGUGUUAUGGAGUUCCGCAUGAUGCCUCGGCCACGUAAUGUAUAGAUUUCAUGUUUACAGAAUGUUAAUGGCUUGAUUUGUCGUGGCCACAUUCGCUUGUACGUGUUAUUCUUCUGUGUUAUACAUGUUCAGCUGGGGGAUAAAUACCGUCAGUGUUUUCAUACAGUUCCUCGAUGGAUCAUUUAAAUAUAUCAGUAAGUGUGUGUAAAUGUCAGAGGAGAAAGAAGUAGAAAGUGGGUGUUUUUUGGAGGUGUGUGAAAUUGUUCCCAGAGGCUUCAUUGUUUCUGCAAUAUAAACAUUCAGAGCAGCUGCACCACUGAACUUUGUUAGUCUGCCACUCCUGAGCUUCCUGAACAGGCAUGAACACACACCCUCUCACACACGUUAGGUCAACAGGGCUAUUUUUGGAAGCAGCGGUUAAUCGCGCUGCUGCAGUGUCCCUCUAUAAAACCUGGAGAAAGGCCCUGGUCCAGUCAUACUCAACUAGGCGGAGUAGACGGCACUCUGUUUCACUCUGCCUUCAAGACAUUUAGCUCAAGCAUCAAAGCAGCAUGAAACGCAGGCGGUUGUUGCUUUCCCUGCCUCUCUUACCCACCAUUACUGAGACGUUGGAGGACUUGCCUGUCCACCCCUCAGCCUCCCAGUCUACCCAGGGCCCUCAGUCGCUAGAGGACUACAUGACCAGUAUCCAGGCCCUCGCCCGGCCCGUUGAGGCCCCGAGCUGUGGCCCCGUCCGACUCCAGAGGCCCCCCAGGCUACGGCAGCUCUCAAAGGCUCAGAUGAAGCUUUCUGCCUCAGCCUCACUCCCUCGCGGGUCUCCCCGCACACAAAGGACUUCUGGAGCUUCCAGUCGGAGUAUAAACAGCACAGAGGAUUUUUCUCUGAAAAUGGGCAGAGAACGAGACUGCAGGGGCAAAGACCCCAUGGACUGGCUGUUUGGACAGAUAAGGACUUGAAGAGAGACUUUGUUGUUGGGCGUAUUUGGAGGAGUAUCUCAUAAUCACACAAGGCUGGAAGAACCUGCUGUGUUCAUGUCAAGUUUUAAAAAAGGACAAAAUCACCAUAUGAUGCCUGAGUAGAGCCGAGAUCUCUUUAUUUUUAUGCACUGAGGACUCAAGUCCACAUGUUUACAGUGAUGAAUAUUUUGUAAAGAUGUAAAAUAUAUAGUUUGUAAUAAAAUACUAAAAUAAUUGUA